CUAACUGCCCCGCCCCCCCGGUCCCUAGGAACCGGAAGUUUCCUCGUCGCUCCCAUCGUCCCGUCUGCACUCGUAGCUGCCGGCUGGCCGGGCCGGGCCGAGCUGGGGCGGCCAUGAGCAAGCGGAAGGCGCCGCAGGAGAGCCCCAAUGCGGGGAUCACAGACUUCCUGAGCGAACUGGCAAACUAUGAGAAGAAUGUGAACCGAGCUAUCCACAAGUACAAUGCGUACAGAAAAGCAGCUUCUGUAAUAUCCAAGUAUCCAAGCAAGAUAAAAAGUGGAGCUGAAGCAAAGAAGCUGGAAGGAGUAGGGACUAAAAUCGCUGAGAAGAUUGAUGAGUUUUUAUCCACUGGAAAACUACGUAAGCUUGAAAAGAUUCGACAGGAUGAUACAAGCUCAUCUAUCAAUUUCCUGACCCGAGUUAGUGGCAUAGGUCCUUCUGCAGCUAGGAAGUUUGUGGAUGAAGGGAUAAAGACAUUGGAAGAUCUGAAGAAAAAUGAACACAAGCUAAAUCAUCAUCAGCGAAUUGGGCUAAAAUAUUUUGAAGACUUCGAGCAAAGAAUACCUAGAGAAGAGAUGUUACAGAUGCAGGAAAUUGUAUUGAAAGAGGUUAAAAAACUGGACCCCGAAUAUAUUGCUACAGUCUGUGGCAGUUUCAGGCGAGGUGCGGAAUCAAGUGGGGAUAUGGAUGUUCUCCUGACCCAUCCAAGUUUCACUUCGGAAUCAACCAAACAGGUCUUAAAGAGGAAUGAGGUACCUUUUUGUAUGGAGCGAACCAACAGAAUAGGAAACAAAUCUCCCACGCCAAAGCUUUUGCACCAAGUUGUAGAACAACUGAAAAAAAUCCACUUUGUCACAGACACAUUGUCAAAGGGUGAUACGAAAUUCAUGGGUGUAUGUCAGUUGCCAAGCAAAGAAGAUGGAACCAAUUUUCUAUACAGGAGAAUUGAUAUCAGGCUGAUCCCCAAGGAUCAGUAUUAUUGUGGGGUACUAUACUUCACAGGCAGUGACAUAUUCAAUAAGAACAUGAGAACUCGUGCCCUGGAAAUGGGCUUCACAAUCAACGAGUACACAAUCCGGCCCUUGGGAGUUACUGGAGUUGCUGGGGAGCCCCUCCCAGUAGAGAGUGAAAAGGAUAUCUUUGAUUACAUACAGUGGAAGUAUCGAGAGCCAAAAGAACGGAGUGAAUAACUUGCAUUCAAAGUUUCACUAGCUAGUGCUCACUUAUUUUGUAGCUUUUAUGAAUAAUCAGCGGAGUCAAAACUAGGUGCAUAUUUAUUGUUUGAACAUUACUUCAGAAGAUGCCUCAUGGUAAAGAUAGUUGCUUGUUUUAAAGAAAUGCUGGAGAGCUCGAUGAUCUCAACAUUAGCAGGAGGUCCCCAACUGACCCCCAGAGCUCUCACCUUUCUGGUGUCCUGCACUUCAGCUGAACUCUUGAUGCUGUUGUAGUCUAGGACCAGGGCUACCAAUGGGGAACAGACGCAGCUGAGCCCCAGCAGCAAGGCUGCCACCAUUCUUCAGGCAGGUUGAUCUGUGUUUCCCCCUGUGAGUUCUACAGCGUUUACCCGUUAUCUAAGAUGUGCGAAGCUUGAAAACAAGCAACACAGAUUCAGCAAAUAUGGGAUAUUUGUGAAUCUUUUUAAAAGAAAAAAUCUUGAAUAAAAGUCCUUUUCUUAUAUUUUACAUCUCUAACCUAAGAGAAAAAUCUGUGGAGAGGAGCUCUGUCCUUCCUGGGGUAUUUAUAGCCAAUUUUGCUGUCCUUUCCAUCCCCUCCUCUCCUCAUUUCCUUUCUCUUCAGCCCACACAGACUUCAACAAAUCUCUUCAAAUCUGUUUGAUCAAUAGUUCAAAACAAGGAUUCACUAAAAUGAGCAAGGAGGUAGGGCGGCAGCAGCUACCUCUCCUCAGGGGCUGAGCCACUCCUAAUUAUUGUAUAUCAAAGUUAGUUCAAAGGGACAGCAGAGGAGCAGGAUGUUUGUAUCAAAGGCAGACACUGCUAAUCACCUGAAUUUCCUACCGUCCUUAAUCCCUUUGCAAAAUGUUUUUUUCCAACAUCUGUCUUCACAGCUAAUUGUGCUCCAAGAAAGAGUGAGUGAUUCAUGUGGGCCAGUCUGCCAGUUACUAAACAUUUAUCCCUGGUAUGUUGGGAAUAUAGAAAAAACUGUCUGGUUAGCUCUGGCAUCCAGUCACAAUUAUCACUUAGUUCAAGGCAGCUGCCAAAAUAAUCUCUGCUCAAGUCAGAUGUGUUUGGGAAAGCUUUCUUGCUUCCUGUAGUGGAAUAAAACUGUUUGAAGCUAGUGUUCAUUCAGAAAACUAGGAUAUGUAUCUGCUUUGGUCCUGACUCAAGUUGGGGGCAGGGGGUACUAGUAGUAAAAUCACAUAAUAUUUAUCUUCACAAAAUGUGAUUGGUAUCUUUACUGUCAUCUGUAUCACAUUGCCUUAACUUGAAACAAUUGGAACUGGAUUAUAGAUCUCCAGCUGAUAUAUGCAGAAUUUGACAUGCCUCCAAUCUCCCCAAACAGAAAAGUCAUCUUCUCUCUCAGAACUUUGCCAUUGAGUUGUCAUGUUGAAACAUCACCCAGGACAGAUUGGAAGUGGAAAGCCUACAUGUGUGCCUUAAGCUACUCUAUACUAAUGUUUUUAAGUUAGAAAAAGAAUAAAGUACCUAAUGUUUUUAUCAUUGUACGUUUCCUGUCAACACUCCCAAGUUAAUAAAUGAUCUGCAUAUUAUGCCAUU